CCUACGGGCGGCAGCAGUGGGGAAUAUUGGACAAUGGGGGCAACCCUGAUCCAGCCAUGCCGCGUGUGUGAAGAAGGCCCUCGGGUUGUAAAGCACUUUCAGUGAGGAAGAACGCCUGGUGGUUAAUACCCAUCAGGAAAGACAUCACUCACAGAAGAAGCACCGGCUAACUCCGUGCCAGCAGCCGCGGUAAUACGGAGGGUGCGAGCGUUAAUCGGAAUUACUGGGCGUAAAGCGCGCGUAGGUGGCUUGAUAAGCCGGUUGUGAAAGCCCCGGGCUCAACCUGGGAACGGCAUCCGGAACUGUCAAGCUAGAGUGCAGGAGAGGAAGGUAGAAUUCCCGGUGUAGCGGUGAAAUGCGUAGAGAUCGGGAGGAAUACCAGUGGCGAAGGCGGCCUUCUGGACUGACACUGACACUGAGGUGCGAAAGCGCGGGUAGCAAACAGGAUUAGAUACCCUGGUAGUC
rnacentral:rRNA from 1 species